rnacentral:tRNA from 1 species
ACUCGAAUUUUUAUGUUUGAUUUGAAGUCAUUCUGGUUGUUUUUGUUAACAAGUCGGGUU